UGCAGACGUGGAAAUGUUGGCAUGUGGAUAGACCCUGUACCAAAAACCCAGCAGAAGAUUCAGAGUCCCUGAGAUACCUCCUCCUCAUCUUCUUUGCCAAGCACCUCUUGUCAGUGGUCUUGGAAGUUAGAGGUGGGAAAAGGCACGUGUCCUGGGGAAGUGUCGCUACGUUUACUAUGGGAAAAACUCAGAAGGCAACAGGUUUAUCCGAGAUGACCAGCUCUGAAGCCAAGUUCUGUAUACCUUCACCCAUUUCACGAAAAUAAAAUCAAAAGGGAAGUCAAAAAUAAAGAA
rnacentral:sRNA from 1 species